rnacentral:rRNA from 1 species
GCAGUAGCCGCGGGAAUACGAAGGGGGCUAGCGUUGUUCGGAAUUACUGGGCGUAAAGCGCACGUAGGCGGAUAUUUAAGUCAGGGGUGAAAUCCAGAGCUCAACUCUGGAACUGCCUUUGAUACUGGGUAUCUUGAGUAUGGAAGAGGUGAGUGGAAUUCCGAGUGUAGAGGUGAAAUUCGUAGAUAUUCGGAGGAACACCAGUGGCGAAGGCGGCUCACUGGUCCAUUACUGACGCUGAGGUGCGAAAGCGUGGGGAGCAAACAGGAUUAGAGACCCCAGUAGUCCCUGUCUCUUAUACA